UUCUCUUUUCUUAUCUCGCCCGGCUGUUUUCUUCACUCUUUCACCUUUUCUCCUCAUUUUCUUAAAUUUCCAGCAUCACCUUCCAUAUUCCAGACUUUAUUAAGGUUCUAUUGAAGCUCCAAGACUCAAUAUUGAGUGAGGUCUUGGGGGAUUGGAAGUGAUAUAAGAAAGGUGUCCUUUGUAUUAUCCGUAACUUGUUGGAUCAUCACUCUUAGAGAGGUCUCCAUCUAUUCUCUUGGUAGGUUCCAGUUAAAGGCAUCUGGUAGACAUUGCUAAAUACUUAGUGUCCACUCCAUUAUCUGUGUCAAAUUAUAUUUUGUAUUUGUGAGGUGUUGGAACAGACUAUGAUUUAGCUAAGGAUUGACGUAUGAUUAUAAAUAUAUAAGUUGUGCAUUCGAUUUUCACUUUGAGACACGAAUUAUAUAUGAUGAAAUACAUGUAUAUGAGUUGAAAUAUAUACUCAUUAUAAAAUGUUUAUGA